CCCCUCUCAGGAUUGCACCUGGAGAGUUUCCAGUACUCUACCAGUCUCAGCUACAGGAGGAAGAGUAAAGCAGAGACAUGCUCAUUCCAUUUCUAGCUUGGGCAAUGGCUAGUGAGUGGAAAGCAAUCUGCUAUAAGU